rfam:Perkinsus marinus ATCC 50983 gcontig_1104296295182, whole genome shotgun sequence.
GGCGAAGCUACCAUCUGCUGGAUUACGGCUGAACGCCUCUAAGCCCGAAUCCAUGCUGGAUAAGCAGUGUUGUACACCGUGCUCAAUGCUACAAGAAAAAGGCUAGGUCAGGCUUCGGCCUGACCAAAAUUCAAGCUGCUAUACCUCUGGCUGCAUUGACUUGUGGUCAGAGUGUAUGGUGAUCAUAGCAAUUGCAAGUAUUGGGCUCGAUAAAUCCUUUGAAGACGACUUAAUUGCAUCCGGGUAUUGUAAGUGUUGAGAGUAGGCUUAGUCUUACGAUCCACUGAGAUUCAUCCCGUGUUGCGCCGAUUUGU